UACAGAGGUCCCAAGCGUUGUUCGGAUUUAUUGGGCGUAAAGGGUGCGUAGGCGGCGGAGUAAGUUGGGUGUGAAAUCCCGGGGCUCAACCUCGGAAUUGCAUUCAAUACUGCUUCGCUAGAGUACUGGAGAGGAGGCUGGAAUUUACGGUGUAGCAGUGAAAUGCGUAGAUAUCGUAAGGAAGGCCGGUGCGAAAGCGAGCCUCUGGACAGUUACUGACGCUGAUGCACGAAGGCCAGGGGAGCAAACGGG
rnacentral:rRNA from 1 species